rnacentral:rRNA from 1 species
AUUGAACGCUGGCGGCAGGCCUAACACAUGCCAGUCGAACGGUAACAGGAAGAAGCUUGCUUCUUUGCUGACGAGUGGCGGACGGGUGAGUAAUGUCUGGGAAACUGCCUGAUGGAGGGGGAUAACUACUGGAAACGGUAGCUAAUACCGCAUAACGUCGCAAGACCAAAGAGGGGGACCUUCGGGCCUCUUGCCAUCGGAUGUGCCCAGAUGGGAUUAGCUAGUAGGUGGGGUAACGGCUCACCUAGGCGACGAUCCCUAGCUGGUCUGAGAGGAUGACCAGCCACACUGGAACUGAGACACGGUCCAGAGUCCUACGGGAGGCAGCAGUGGGGAAUAUUGCACAAUGGGCGCAAGCCUGAUGCAGCCAUGCCGCGUGUAUGAAGAAGGCCUUCGGGUUGUAAAGUACUUUCAGCGGGGAGGAAGGGAGUAAAGUUAAUACCUUUACUCAUUGACGUUACCCGCAGAAGAAGCACCGGCUAACUCCGUG